UGCGUGUACGUGUAGGACAUGCGUGUACGUGUAUUAUGCGAUGAUUCUAUGCUCACUUCACACACACAGUAGUUUCGACGAUUUUCGUUUGGAUUUUGCCCAUUAAUGUGACCUCAAAACUAAUGUAUGAUGAACCCAUCGCAUGUACCACCUGUAGCAGCGCCCCAUGGAUGUGUGGCUGAGAUGAAUCCCUCCUACGUACCAUCUCUAUCAGUAUCAGCGCCCCAAGGAAGUGCAAGUAGCAAAACUAAUGUAUGAUGAACCCAUCGCAUGUACCACCUGUAGCAGCGCCCCAUGGAUGUGUGGCUGAGAUGAAUCCCUCCUACGUACCAUCUCUAUCAGUAUCAGCGCCCCAAGGAAGUGCAAGUAGCAAAACUAAUGUAUGAUGAACCCAUCGCAUGUACCACCUGUAGCAGCGCCCCAUGCCGGAUGUGUGGCUGAGAUGAAUCCCUCCUACGUACCAUCUCUAUCAGUAUCAGCGCCCCAAGGAAGUGCAAGUAGCAAAGUGAGAGCAAUGCAGGUUAUUUUUAAAAAUAUUUAAUUUUUAUUAUGUAUUUAAUGAAUAAUAAUAAUGAUUAGUAGUAAUGAAUUUGUCUUCCACAGCGCAACAAAAUCACUUCAAUCAAUUAGUAAAUAAUAAAUAGAUUUGAGGUAUUUGUUCUGUCAUCAUUAUGUUCCCUUUUAGCUGGACGAUACAAUCUCAUAAAAUGCAAUGAGAGUGCACGUAAACAGAUGCAUGUAUGUAAUUAUGUGUCUGCAUAUAUUUCCAAGUAUGGAGAACAUCAAAGCGUCUCUUUUAAGUUAAUUGCAUCAUCCAUGCAAAAUAUCUUUUUGAUGAUAACUUUAAUAAAUGGAUCAUGUUAUUUUAAUAAAGUAUGUUAAGCCAAAUUAAAAAA